CCUGCCGGGAGAAAAUGGCCAAAUUACACAAAAGAGCAUCAGAGAAGCAUUCAAAUAAAUUACACGAGAGCACUGGAGAGGCAUUCAAAUAAACCCAUUCUGAAACCAUACACCAAAGAGCUACCUGAGAAAGAGUGUGUGCUUUCUACAAAAUCAAAGCAACCAACCCCCAAAGGAUGGGUGAAGGUCAGAGUUGUCACUGGGAGAGCAGACGGGCAGGUGCAGCCCUGGAAAGUCACACGCACCCUAGAGCAGGAGGCAAGAGAAGAGCUCACCAGACAGCAGGAACACUCCUCGCUGGAGAGCCACGAGGCUCUCGGUCAACAUGUUUUUCCACGUCAGACCUCUGGUUGCCAGGUAAUUCUGUGA